UGUGAAGUAAGUGUGAACUCAUGUGGAAAA
rnacentral:piRNA from 1 species